rnacentral:rRNA from 1 species
UACGAAGGGGGCUAGCGUUGCUCGGAAUCACUGGGCGUAAAGGGUUCGUAGGCGGGUCUUUAAGUCAGGGGUGAAAUCCUGGAGCUCAACUCCAGAACUGCCUUUGAUACUGAAGAUCUUGAGUUCGGGAGAGGUGAGUGGAACUGCGAGUGUAGAGGUGAAAUUCGUAGAUAUUCGCAAGAACACCAGUGGCGAAGGCGGCUCACUGGCCCGGUACUGACGCUGAGGCGCGAAAGCGUGGGGAGCAAACAGGG